UACAUGCAAUUCAAACGCUUUGAUUUUCACCGGAGCUUGCUCCACCGAAAAUCAAAGAGUGGCGGACGGGUGAGUAACACGUGGGCAACCUGCCCAACAGAGGGGGAUAACACUUGGAAACAGGUGCUAAUACCGCAUAAUUUGUUUUCCCGCAUGGGAGAAUAAUAAAAGACGCUUCGGUGUCACUGUUGGAUGGGCCCGCGCUGCAUUAGUUAGUUGGUGGGGUAAUGGCCUACCAAGACCGUGAUGCAUAGCCGACCUGAGAGGGUGAUCGGCCACACUGGGACUGAGACACGGCCCAGACUCCUACGGGAGGCAGCAGUAGGGAAUCUUCGGCAAUGGACGAAAGUCUGACCGAGCAACGCCGCGUGAGUGAAGAAGGUUUUCGGAUCGUAAAACUCUGUUGUUAGAGAAGAACAAGUGGGAGAGUAACUGUUCCCACCUUGACGGUAUCUAACCAGAAAGCCACGGCUAACUACGUGCCAGCAGCCGCGGUAAUACGUAGGUGGCAAGCGUUGUCCGGAUUUAUUGGGCGUAAAGCGAGCGCAGGCGGUUUCUUAAGUCUGAUGUGAAAGCCCUCGGCUCAACCGAGGAAGGUCAUUGGAAACUGGGGAACUUGAAUGCANAANAGGAGAGUGGAANUUCCAUGUGUAGCGGUGAAAUGCGUAGAUUUAUGGAGGAACACCAGUGGCGAAAGCGACUCUCUGGUCUGUAAUUG
rnacentral:rRNA from 1 species